rnacentral:rRNA from 1 species
AUGCUGAGAUAUGAUCUUGAGGAUCAACUCUCCUCCAUCUACACAGAUGAGGAGGCAUACUGGAGGUUGCGUGGUACCCAAAGAUGGGUGCUCCGCGGCGAUGCGAACACUGCAUAUUUCCAGGCGGUUGCGAAUGGCCGACGCCGGCGAAAUUCCAUCCACUGCUUGUGGGAGGAUGACGCCCCCCUUGUCCGCCCCGCGGCCGUACGGGCUCAUGUAGACGGCUUCUACAAAGCCCUCUUUACCCCCACCCCUCGGCGUGGGGCUAGUCUCGCCCCCGACACUUGGACGGGGGUGGAGUUGGUUUCUGACGAGGCCAACACGGCCCUUGUUGCCCCCUUCACCGAAGAAGAGGUACUCACGGCCAUUAAAGGAAUGAACCCCUCCUCGGCCCCGGGUCCGGAUGGCUUGCCCGUUACGUUCUUUAAAACGUUCUAG